GAUCUCGUAGCUCAAUUGGAUAGAGCAACUGCCUUCUAAGCAGUAGGUUGUGGGUUCGAUUCCCGCCGGGAUCA
rnacentral:tRNA from 1 species